rnacentral:tRNA from 1 species
AUUUAAAUAGUUUAUAAAAAUAUCGAUUUGUGGGGUCGGGGAUGCGCUAAUGUGCUUUAAAUA